UGAGGAAUAUUGCACAAUGGGCGCAAGCCUGAUGCAGCAACGCCGCGUGAGGGACGAAGGCCUUCGGGUUGUAAACCUCUUUUCUGAGGGACGAGGAAGGACGGUACCUCAGGAAUAAGUCUCGGCUAACUACGUGCCAGCAGCCGCGGUAAAACGUAGGAGGCGAGCGUUAUCCGGAUUUACUGGGCGUAAAGCGCGCGCAGGUGGCUUCGUUAGUCGGACAUGAAAGCUCCUGGCUUAACUGGGAGAGGCUGUUCGAUACUGCGGGGCUUGAGGUUGGGAGAGGGACGCGGAAUUCCCGGUGUAGUGGUGGAAUGCGUAGAUAUCGGGAGGAACAACAGUGGCGCAAGCGGCGUCCUGGCCCACACCUGACGCUGAGUUGCGAAAGCGUGGGUAGCAAACAG
rnacentral:rRNA from 1 species